rnacentral:rRNA from 1 species
UACAGAGGUCUCAAGCGUUGUUCGGAUUCAUUGGGCGUAAAGGGUGCGUAGGCGGCGCGGUAAGUCGGGUGUGAAAUCUCGGAGCUUAACUCCGAAACUGCAUUCGAUACUGCCGUGCUUUGAGGACUGGAGAGGAGACUGGAAUUUACGGUGUAGCGGUGAAAUGCGUAGAGAUCGGCAGGAACACCCAGGGGGAAACCAGUGGACUGGGCAGCAGCUGACGCUGAUGUGCGAAAAGCGUGGGGAGCGAACCGG